UUUAAGUGUACCUUAUUAUGCCAGGCUUACUCAAGUCAUUUGCUGUUGUGGAUUGUUGAUGCCACUGGGUCUGACAGAUUCAUGAGCCCUGAAUUCUGACAAGGAGGAAGCUGUUUUGUUGUACAGAAUACAUAAGAGUAACAGAGACAUUGUCGUGCAUUGGAGAAGUCUACAAAGGUUUCACAGAAGAGAUAGAUGACUUCAUCUGGGAUUGGAGAGAUGUAUAAAAUUGUAUGGAUGUUGAAAAAGGAGAGAGCACUCCAGAUGGUGUAAAACAACAUGAGCAAAAGCAUGGAGAUAUGAAAACAAUGAAGGUUGCUUGAAUGUUUUAAGCACUUUGAAGAUAAAGGAGAUGGAGCCAUGUAGAUUCUAAAGAGGCUGUGAAUUAUACCAGAGGAAAACAUCAUGGAACAAGGGGAGGAAAUGAGUAAUGAAACAAAAUAAAUAGCA